rnacentral:lncRNA from 1 species
AUGAAGGCUCCUGGCCAAGGCAGCUCCCAGAUAGGGUGGCUGCCUGCGUCUCCUCUUAGCAGAGGCCCUUGCCAUUUGGCUGGUGUGUGGGGUGCCCAUGCAUGUGACUGCGGGGGCGGGGCUCAGCCAUCGCUCUUCCCACAGCCAGGAUCCAGGCCCCGAGAUCUAACCCAGGCUGCUGCCAAAGGUCAGUGGGCUUCAUGCUUUGUCCAACUCACGGCUGGCAGGAAGCCGCCCGCCCAGGCCAGCCUCUCUCUGGCCUCUGCUCCUGCAGUCUCCAAAGGGCUUCUAGUGACCCCAAAUCACCAAGAGCCAGGAAGCCUCUGUGGGAAAGACUGUCUGUUCCACCUUCUUCCUGCUACAUUCUGCUUUGCUCUGGACCUACAGAAGUUCCCUCAACUCCUGGUGCCCACAGGAAUGAUACCUGCAGGUGGCUGCCUUGCAGAGCUCACAGGCUCCUCUCGGGACCGGCUCCUCACUGAGCUGUGGCUGUUGAGGCCGAAGGGUGUGUCAAGACGAGGCAGGUGCUCUGCAGGGGAGCCCCAGUCUAACAGGGCCAACAUUCAAUGGUGACUACAGGAGGACCCAGGCCUGUACUCCGGGCCUUACAUAGCAAUUUUACCUGUGAACUUCACUGGCUUGAGAACUGCCUAGGGAAUUGGUAAAGCACACUUGUGAGACUGUCUGUGUGGGUCAUUGAGGUGUACCUGUGGGGACUCUAUUUGGUCCCUGGCCCUUUCCUGUUUGGUGCAUUCCCCUGUGUUGUGUGUCUUGGCUGCCAGCACAUGAGCAGAUUUGCUUUACCACAUCCUUCUGCCAUGAUGUCCCUGCCUUGGAGUCAGUAAACCAUGAACUGAACCCUCUGAAACAAUAAGGCAAAUUAAAUCUCUCCUCCUUCAAGUUAUGGGUGUCAGAUAUUUUGUGCUAGAGAUGACAAAGCUAUCUAAUAUAAACUCAGUGAGGUGGAUUUUAUUUUACAAAAGAGGAAACUGAUGCCAGGCAUGGUGGUGCAUAACUGUAAUCCCAGCACUCUGGGAGGCUGAGGCAGGAGCAUCACAAGUUCUACUCUAGCCAGGGCAAUUUAAUGAGAUCCUCUUUCAAAAUAAAAAAUACAAAAAGACUGGCGAUGUAACUCAGUGUGAAGAUGCUGAGUUUAAUCCCCAGUACCACAAAAAAAGAGGAAACUGAGGCUCAAAGGGGUUCAAUCACUUGCCUAAGGCCACAUAGCUAAGAAUCAUCUGCAGAAGAAUUUGAACUCCAGCAGUCUGACUCUAGAGUGCCUGACCACAGCUUGCCUCCUGGAUACUAAAUGUGCCCUGUCUCCUCAGUAUAAGCCAACCCAACCUUGUUCUACCCCCACCCCUUUCAUUCCUUGUCUUGGUUAAAGAGGCCUCCAAACUCCAUCUCCUUAGGUGGAGACUGGGGGGAGUUUCACUCCAUUCCUGGCCAGGUCUGCAGCAGUCCUUGCCUGCUGACUCCAUUGCUUCUGCCUGAUGCCAGCUUUGGUUCAGCUUUCUCACUUCCUGCCUGGGCGGGACCCCAGCCUCCUGGCUGAUCUCUGGCCUCCUUCCUGAUCUCCAUCCUGCCUGGCCUGGCUACCUGCCAGUCUGGCUCUUCCCACUGCACACAGGCCCAAAACCAGACCGUGAAGGGUGUACUUGACUUCCAACCCUGCGAUCCUGCCCCUGGCUGUUGACAGCACUCGGCAACCUGUUGUCCUCACAAUGUGCUUUAUUGUUCCAUGACUCCACUCCUUACUCAUGUUUCCUCAGCCGAGAGCACCCACCCUCGCCCCUUGUCUACUUGGCAAGCUCUUACUCAUACAUUAAAACCCAGCCUCUGGUUACUUCCCUGCAUUCUCUUUCCUCUCUUGGGCUACUUCUAACUAAUUUGAACACAUGGUAUCAUUGUCCUUGUCACUUGCCGAUACUGAUCUGCUCAUCAAUCACUAUCCCUCUUUAGUUUCCAAGUUCCCAUGGAAGGUACUAGAAGCGUGUCUGGAUUCCCAGUGUCCAGCGGAACCUGGUUCUCAGUGAUGCUGGCCCCAUGGAACUGGACGACCUUGGUCCCGACCUGCUCCAUCUUCAGGAGGCUCCUACUUGUCUACGGACUUGCAAACCCUGGCAAGCCCAUUUGUGGUUUGCUAAUGGGCUCACCUCUCUCCUGCAAGGUCCACAUGUUCUGGCCUAAAGAGAGUCUGUGACCCACGCUCUCCUCCUGAUUCUCCACUCACAGGUGUGGCUAUGGUGAGGGCAAACACCAAAAGAUAGUGUUUGCUCUUGAGAAGGGACGCAUUCCGACCAAGUUGGCUAGUAAGUGAUUUUCUGCAAAGUAGAAUAAUUGGUUGAAUGUUCCCAUGGCAACAGAGCCUUUCCUGGAAACCACUGGAGGGAGAGGAAGGCUGUGGUUCUGCCUGGUACUGCAGGGCCCUGGGUAGGGCCAGCAGAGAUGGUGAUGCUGCUCGGCAUCCGGCUUCCUCUGUGCACAGCCUCGCCUGGCCCUCCGGCUGCUCUCUGCCUGCCUCCCUGGGCCUUAGGCACAUUUCCAUGCCACUGCCCUGCAAGAGCACUUGAGCAGGUGCUCACCGUUCCCAGAAUUGUCCCAUUUCCUCAUGUUUAAGUGUGGGUUUUAAGAAUGGCACUAUCUAGGCAGGGCAUGCAUGAAUGAUUCACCCAGCGCUUUUGUAGGCACUGCUGUGGGGUUCUCAAAAAUGGCCUUGGAAGGCUAUGCUAUUCACAACCCACUUCCCAGAUGGCCAUGAGGCUGGCACUGAGGACGUGACUGGGAGCACAAAGAGGCCAGAGGUGUGGCCAGCUGCCGGGCAGGGUCGGCCCAAACACUCUUCAGCACGGGCGUUCUCUUCACCCUGUUGGGAGGCAGAGAUGGGAGGGGACCUUCCCUUACCCACCCUUCCCUGCGCCUGGAAUCCCAGAAACAGCAACCUCCUGGCUGUGGAGGGCAGGUAGAGUGGGCGUGCUGCUGCCUCUUCCUGUGGGAUUCCUUGCACCGGCCUCCCUCUCUGGGUGCCUGGAAUCAAGGUGGAAGGAUAGAGAAGGACAGUGCCCCUGCAUCUCAUAGCUGGUCUUGGAGCAGGAAAAGCACCAGAAUCUACUGGGCGAGAGGCUCCACUGUGUGAGCAUGUUGAUGUAGCUGAGUGUGCAUGUCAGUGCGGGACAGAGCCUGUGUUUAUGUAUAAAUACAGGAGUGUGCGGGGGUGUGGGAAAAUGUGUUUGUGUGUGUAAAUGUUUGUGUGCAUGUGCACUGCAUUAUGAGAGUGUGUGCACACGUGUGUGAAGGCAUGCAUGCAGACCUGUGUCAGCAUAAAAGAGUGUGGGGUAUGUGUUUACGUGUGAAUGCAUGUGUGUGUGUGAAAAUACACACGUGUGUGUCACAAAAGAAAACAAUGUGUGUGAAUAUGUAUGGGAGUGCAGAUGAGGGUGAGGUACAGCUGUUUCCAUGGUGACGGGUAUGUGCUAAGGGCCCCCCUGACCUCCAUGGCCAGUCUCCCACUGGGAAGGGAGAGAGGUGGAGGCAGCAGGAUGUGAGCUUUGGGGAACUGGUGUGGCCUUCUCCUUCCUUCCAGCAGCUCCAUGGUGCAUAGGCUACACCAUUUCUUGAGUGGGGGUGGGGGUGGGGACCCAUGCCUGCCAACUCUCCCUGCGACACCUCUUCUAGACCUUUGACUCUUUCAGCUGUGCUCCCAGAUACUCAAGGCAGACACAAGUGGUGACCCAUCAAAUUCAUGACCCCAGAGAUACAGAACAAAAGGGAUGUUUUGCAUUUUUCUAUGUGUUAUGGUUUGUAUCUGAAUGUCCCCACAAAGUCUCAUGCAGUCAUGGGGCAGGCUUCUAGAGUUUUUGAUUGAUCCGUGGUCCAAUGCUGGGAUUCUGGGUGUGAGUGCUACACCCAAAGGCGGUAGCCUGCAUACACAUAAAGGAGGGAAAGAGGCUUGCUCUUUUUGAUCUUGCUGCUUUUGCUGUUUCCUGCUGCCAUGAGCUAUUGCCCUCUGCCAUGUGCCACUCUGCCUUGGAGCCAGACAAGUAUGGACUGAAAACUCGGACUGAAUGCUCCACAAACUGUGAGCUAAAUAAACCUUUCCUUCCUUAAUUCUGGGCAUCAGGUAUUUUGUCUCAGCAACAAGAGAAAGGUAACCAAGAAAAUAUAUCACAAGGCAUGGGAUCAGGACAAUCCCUACAUCUGUGUCGCAGAAGGAAUGCCCCACUCAGAACUCCUGGCACAUACACAUGCCUGCUGUCUCUCAAGUUCUCAAGCACAUGGAACCAUCCACAGGUGCAUUAGACCAAUACAUCCUAAGCCAAAGCCACCAUUGUCCUACCCACAUUUGAAACAUGGUUGAUAACCUUGAUAAAAUCAACCAAGAGAGUCCAUGACCUCUGCAUAGGACAACAGGGGCAGAGUCGAGGGACGUCUGCUGGGGAUUGGCUGAGGUGGUGUGUGGCUGUGAACAAAGAGCAGAGAUGUGGAUGAAGUUGUGAUCUUGGUCUUGGAGUGCUUCCCCUGCACCAGUGAGUUCACCACCUGCCAGACACUGGUCCUGAGGGUCUUCCCGCUCCCUGGGAGGCAGCAGGCGCUGUGAUGUGCUUUACAGUGAGCCUUGAGUAGCAUGGUGCUUGCCCCCUCCUGAGCUGCCUAUGCCAGAUGUCACCAGCACUCUGAAGAAGCAAGGCUGAAUCAUGCUCUGGAAAUCAACCAGUCUGCCUUGUGCUCCUCACAUAUGUGGGAAUAAACCUGUGCUUUUUUCAAUACACUGUUUACUUUCUGUAUUUCUGUGAUGUUAUAAGGAACAUAUUUUUAUUAAAAAAUAUCAUGUCUGACAAUCUUUGUCCUUUAAUGGAAGUAUUUAGUCCAUUUACAUUUGAUCUAAUAACUGAUUUGUUUG